GCACUCACUUCAGCAGCACAUAUGCUAAAAUCGGAAGGAUACGGAGAAGAUUGCCGUGGCCCCUGUGGAAGGAUGACACGCGAAGUUGUGAAGCAGUCUAUAUUUUU